rnacentral:rRNA from 1 species
GAUCUGAGUGUAUUUGCCGAGCGCGGUUCGGGGCGCGGGGCGCGGCGGGCAAGCCUGAUCCACAUGCCGCGUGCAUGAUGAAGGCCUUCGGGUUGUAAAGUGCUUUUGUGCGGAACGAAAGGGCUCCCGCUAAUACCCGUGGCUCAUGACGGUACCGUAAGAAUAAGCACCGGCUAACUCCGUGCCAGCAACCGCGGUAAUUAACCCCGCUCUCGCGGCCCCCCCAUGGAACUUGAAUUUGCGGACCCACACCCCCCCAUUUCCGGGCGUUAAAAACCCCCGUUUUUUUUUUUUUUUUCCUUGAAAAAGUUACAUAUACUUUUGUUAAAAAAAUUUAAAAAAAAACCUCAAACUUUUGUGCCCCCCAAUAAAUAAAAAAAC